rnacentral:rRNA from 1 species
AGAGUUUGAUCCUGGCUCAGGACGAACGCUGGCGGCGUGCUUAACACAUGCAAGUGGAGCGACGAACCAGGGCUUGCCCUGGGGCAGACNNCGAACGGGUGAGUAACACGUGGGUAACCCACCUCGAUGACCGGGACAACCCGAGGAAACUCGGGCUAAUACCGGAUGUGAUCCGUCUCCAUAAGGAAGCGGAUGAAAGAUAGCUUCGGCCUUCGCAUCGAGACGGGCCCGCGGCCCAUUAGCUUGUUGGUGGGGUAACGGCCUACCAAGGCUUCGAUGGGUAGCUGGUCUGAGAGGACGAUCAGCCACACUGGGACCGAGACACGGCCCAGACUCCUACGGGAGGCAGCAGUGGGGAAUCUUGCGCAAUGCGCGAAAGCGUGACGCAGCAACGCCGCGUGGGGGAAGACGGCCUUCGGGUUGUAAACCCCUUUCAGUUGGGACGAAGCUUCGUCGGUGAAUAGCCGGCCGGAGUGACGGUACCUUCAGAAGAAGCCCCGGCUAACUACGUGCCAGCAGCCGCGGUAAUACGUAGGGGGCAAGCGUUGUCCGGAAUCAUUGGGCGUAAAGCGCGUGUAGGCGGUUCAGUAAGUCUGCUGUGAAAGUCCAGGGCUCAACCCUGGGAUGCCGGUGGAUACUGCUGGGCUAGAGUACGGAAGAGGCGAGUGGAAUUCCCGGUGUAGCGGUGAAAUGCGCAGAUAUCGGGAGGAACACCAAUUGCGAAGGCAGCUCGCUGGGACGUUACUGACGCUGAGACGCGAAAGCGUGGGGAGCAAACAGGAUUAGAUACCCUAGUAGUCC